UACGUAUGGAGCAAGCGUUAUCCGGAUUUACUGGGUGUAAAGGGAGAGUAGGUGGCAGAGCAAGUCCGAAGUGAAAACCCAAAGCUCAACUAUGGGAAUGCUUUAGAAACUGCUCAGCUAGAGUGCAGGAGAGGGCGGUGGAACUCCAUGUGUAGCGGUAAAAUGCGUAGAUAUAUGGAAGAACACCAGUGGCGAAGGCGGCCGCCUGGCCUGUUAACUGACGCUGAGGCACGAAAGCGUGGGGAGCAAAUAGG
rnacentral:rRNA from 1 species